rnacentral:lncRNA from 1 species
GGGGUCCACAGGAGGGCUUCCUGUGAACAAUCGAGGGACGGAUGUGUUUGACUCCAUCAAUCCCACCUUUCAAUCCACCGUGUGUCUCUGCACUUUUUGCCUUUAGUUUUCUAGGGGGGCCGUUGGCCCACAUCGAACUGGGCUUAGCUUUUCUGUUUCCAGAAUUUUCUUCCGUUGCUUCAGUUGCCAAUGGGAUCUGUCUUCUAGUCCGGUUUGCCACAACCAAGAAAGUUUAAGCUCAACAAAGUGAAGACCAGACAGUUGAAUGGGAAAAUGAAAAGGAGUGUGAACUAUCCUACAGGAGACAAGAAAAAAUGAGGCAGAGGAAGUGCUUUCGAACAACGAGCAAGGAAAGAAAGAAAAAAAUGAGAAUACCAGCUCGACAGUUCAGAAAUGCCUGGUAUUUAUGAGGUUUAAUUCCCAGUACUGGAGAAGUUUAAAUUAAAAUAUGUAUGUACAAGG